rnacentral:rRNA from 1 species
UACGGAGGAUGCAAGCGUUAUCCGGAAUGAUUGGGCGUAAAGCGUCCGCAGGUGGCUGUGUAAGUCUGCUGUCAAAGAGCGAAGCUCAACUUCGUAAAGGCAGUGGAAACUACACGGCUAGAGUGCGUUCGGGCAGAGGGAAUUCCUGGUGUAGCGGUGAAAUGCGUAGAGAUCAGGAAGAACACCGGUAGCGAAGGCGGCUCACUGGCCCGGUACUGACGCUGAGGCACGAAAGCGUGGGAGCAAACAGG